UCAGGUAAAAUCUUACCUCGGUAAAAAAACAAACCAACAGUUGUUACUACCUCACCUUGUUUUUAUUUCCCUCCUGAGUAGGUUGCUGUUGCCCACCUUGGGAGAUCUAAAGAAGAAGAUAUUGCUUUUAUUUGCUUCCUGGUUAGGUUGUAGUUGGCCACCGUGGGAGAUCUAAAGAAGAAGAUAUUGAUGAAGGUUUCCAUGUUUAUCCAUCCCAAGAUGUGAGACGGAGUGGCAACAGCCAAAGGAAAUCUUAUUCCACGAUGAAGAUCAUGGAUCGUGUACUGAACAUUGUACUAAACACUGAUUGUAGUCCUUGAGAAGAAAGAAGACUGUACCCCACCUGCCAAGCGCUGCCCACUUUGCCUACCCUAAUAGGCACCAUGUAAGGAGGUCCGGGCGCCCUCUAUGCGGGCCGGUUCUUGCUGCCUGCCACUGACCUUUGCCUGACUUCGACUUUGAUUCCGUCUGAUCCCUCCUGUAUCGCGUUUUGGAAAGUGAGUAGGAUCCCUGUGUAUCCCGCCGCAGAAAGCCCGGGGCCCCAAAAGGGCGUCGGUGAACACCGGGGUCGGCAGGGCUCUCCUGCCUCACUUAAGAGGUUAUUCCCUGGCAGUUUUGGCUCCUAUAUAUAUACAGUCUGUUACACACCAUUUCAUACAUAACUGCUUUGUUAUGCUCACUUUAUGUAUAUGAUAAUACAAAUAAAAAAUAUUGCUUAUCAA